UACAAAAGGUACGAGCGUUAUUCAGAAUUAUUGGGCGUAAAGGGUAUGUAGGUGGUCACUCAAUUUUACCGAGAAAAGCUAGGGCUAGUCCCUUAGACCAACGGUUUUAGAAUGUGUGACUUGGAGAAUCAAAGAGGUAGGGGGUAUUUUUAGAGUAGAAGUCGAAUUCCGUCAUACUAAAAAGACCACCAUUUGGCGAAGGCACCUUUCCAUUUGAUUCUGACGCUGAGGUACGAAGGCAUGGGGAGCAAACAGG
rnacentral:rRNA from 1 species